GAUGAACGCUAGCGGCAGGCUUAAUACAUGCAAGUCGAGGGGCAGCAUGAGUGUAGCAAUACAUUUGAUGGCGACCGGCAAACGGGUGCGGAACACGUACACAACCUUCCUAUAAGUGGGGAAUAGCCCAGAGAAAUUUGGAUUAAUACCCCGUAACAUAAUGAUGGGGCAUCACAUUAUUAUUAUAGCUUCGGCGCUUAUUGAUGGGUGUGCGGCUGAUUAGAUAGUUGGCGGGGUACCGGCCCACCAAGUCUACGAUCAGUAGCUGAUGUGAGAGCAUGAUCAGCCACACGGGCACUGAGACACGGGCCCGACUCCUACGGGAGGCAGCAGUAAGGAAUAUUGGUCAAUGGACGCAAGUCUGAACCAGCCAUGCCGCGUGAAGGAUUAAGGUCCUCUGGAUUGUAAACUUCUUUUAUCUGGGACGAAAAAAGGCUAUUCUUAGUCACUUGACGGUACCAGAUGAAUAAGCACCGGCUAACUCCGUGCCAGCAGCCGCCGUAAAAC
rnacentral:rRNA from 1 species